GGGUGUGCUUGCCUCACUCCUAGGUUAUGAGAUUUUGUCAGUGGUGUCUUGUCUCUGGAUACUUGCUAGUUGGGGGUCUUCUUAUGAAGGCUCUGAAGUCAUGAAUGAGCUGUGUCACCACAUUGGUGACGUUGCUUCCUUUUUCUUCAGUUUUUUUUUUUUUUUUUUUUUUUUCCUAACCCACUGAGGUUCUUUAAGACAAAGCUUUGACUCAUUGUCAGGACAUUCAUGGAACCCCAUUUCUUUAAGCCUCAGGACUCAGACCUCUGGAGAGUGAUGUCCUCUGAGCCUGCCGGUGUGAAAUAAACCUCCUGCCUUCCAAGAUGUCCAAGUGCUGCUUGGUUCUUCCGCUGGAGACAGAGCAUGAGAGGAGGAGGAGCAGAGAAAGAG